AUUGCACCAUUUUCAAAUAAAUAUUUUCAUCAAUUUUUUUUCCUUUUUCAGCCUAGCUAACUCCCUGAUAUACUUCUACUUUUCUGCAAAGACCCUUUCUCCCACUCUCUGUAUGUAUACCUUCCCAGAACAAUAAAAAAAAUAAAAAGAAAGAAGAAACGAGUUAAAGAAAAAAGGAAAUAAAGAAAGAGAGGAGGAAAAAUACCACCACCACCACUACCACCACCACAACAUUAACUCUUUUAUUUAACAAUAAAGCAGUUAUUUAUGAACUCCAAAAUAAAAUAAAAUUCUAACCACUCACACGUAUACACAAAACAUGGAAGAAAAUGUAUGGACUUUUGUCUCUGCAAAUAUGUACUACUUUGUAGUGUGGUUGUUGUAACCUGUGACAUUCGGCAGUUAUCAACUGUAUAUAACUUCUUCUUAGGGAUGACAAAUUUGUCUAAUUUCCCUCCUCAGUGCUGGUAUUUCUGUCUAUUUUGAACCACUUUCCUUAGAUCUCAUGUUUGUUGCCACAGUCUCUGUGAGUACCUAUACUACUAGGAAGGAAUAUUUGAUAAAUAUUUUCAUUGGACAUAUUGACCACUUCAGGCCCUUUACAAUCUUUCUACCUACUUUGUAAUAUAGAUAUAUGAGGUUUGCGUGGAAAGUUGGAUGAUCGCAUCACACUUAGGACCUAGUACUUUACAGUCUCACUUUCUACACACAAUCCAAAGGAACAUCUCUUUCUCUAUUUCCCAUGUAGUGCAAGCAGAAUACCUCUGAUGAGGUUCAGGUUAUGCACAUAUUUAUGAAUAAAAUAAUAUGUAAUUAGGAUUAUUUAGUUUUACUUUUUAUCAGAAUAAGACGUUUUGAUUUUUUUUGUUAGUUUUGCUUUGUUUUUACCUAGGUAUUUUACCUAUUAGACUCAGGCUCUAGUGUAUAUUUGCACUGUGAGGUAUGGCUUCUAUCUCAUGGAAAUGGAAGCCAGCUCCUUUCUCGAUAGCAAGUAGAGGGACAAGACCUAACAGUGAUGGAGGGAGGGGAAAGUGGAUUGCAUGUAUUGCAUUUUUAAGAAUCAAAAGUAGUAAAUUAAGUCAAACUGCAUGUCUGCCUCUCUGCUGGUAUGCCAGAGUGCACCCUUGCGACUCAGACAAGGUAGAACAAAGUCCAAGAUAGGGGGUCCCAGCCUGUUUCUCCACGGGAGAGAAACAGAGUGUUCAGGGAGUGGUGCUCUGAUUCUCAAAAUCCUGUGCACCCAAACGCUGCUGGGGAACAAAGGAGUUGAGAACAAUGGUCAAGGUAUCUCUCCUCCCAUAAGCAGGCAGUAAGGAGAUUGCUGACUCUAGGUCAGGGCAGAAUUGUGUCUGGUUCCCAGCGAAUGAAUAAAGAUGGGCUGAAAGAGAUACAGUCUUCUCAGGGAGAAUUAGGUGUGGCUGUUUCUGAGGACAGGCCUUCCCACACCCUCUCACCCCCACUCCUCCACAGUCAUCCUUGAAGGAGAUAGUCUUGCUCAUCCAAUCUGCCUUAUUUAUGGCAAGGGUGAUUGCUUAUAUCUUACUUAGGAUGAAUCAAGGAUUAAAAACAUUUUACAGGAAUGGAUGGCUAGGAAGGGAAGUUCAUUGAAGAAAUGCUUGGGGCCUACCUAGAUUCCUAAUCAGCAUGGAGAAAUCUAGGUUUUUAUGCUACAUCAUCAGAUAUUAUGGUCAUCUCUUUGAUAGUCAUGGUUAUAUGUUCCGGGAUAGGUAAGGCUUGGCCAGGUGCUGAUUACAAAACUUGCCGUUCUCAAUUAUAAGAUUCCCUGGGUUUUUUAAUCUACUUCAACCUUAACAGUUCUUUUGUCUGGUGUCAGGGUCCACUUGAUCUACAGAUUUCUCUGAUAACAAAUAAGUAUGGCAACAAUGUAUCUUGAAUACAUCUUACUAGUGCAUAUUGAAGACUUUGUAGGUGAUAUUGAUUUGUUUUCUCCUCUAGUAACAUGGAGCUUAAAUUUCAUCCGUAUUAAUUGGAGUCAGUAGCGGUGAAGCUUCAAAUCUGGUACUGGAUAUAUUUAUUCUUUUCCAUGAUAAAGUCAGUAGUAUCUUAUACAAUAGAGCCUUUCAAUGUGGAGAUUUAACCAUAGCUUUUAAAAUUCUGGGUGGUGCUUGGUUGGCAAAUGAUGAAACCCAUUUGUUCAACAAUUCAUCAAAACAAUUAGUUGCUUUCACUGGAGAUUUCACUUCUGUUAUAUAAUACUUAUUUGUGUAACUAUAUCUCUCCAAAUAUAGGGUGUUUCUAUUAAUUUACACACACACACACACACACACACACACACACACACACAGACACACACAAACACAGAGAGAAAGAGAGAGAGAGAGAGGGACAGAGAUAGAUACAGAGACACAGAGACAGAGAGACAGAGACAGAGACAGAGAGACAGAGACAGAGAGAGGAGGUGCUUCUUUGAUUUAUGUUUCAGAUUCAUACAAGAAUACUCUGCACUUUAUUUCCACAUUUCUUUCUCCUAACAUCUGCCCAUUAUAUCUCUUUCCCAUUCAUAAUCAAAAAGAUUUCCACUUCUUAUUAAUGACUAUAUUUCUUAAAGAUAUAAAUUUACACAAAACUACUUCAAGCUGUGUAAAAUAUGUGGCGAUCAUAGCUAUGCAUAAUGCAGAUUUAUUGGCAAUGAAUAGCCUAUCAGAUAUCAUAUCAUAUCCUUGAAAAAAGAAUUCACUCUCUUUUAGCAAAUAUCAUUUGUCAUCAGACUUUUCAGCUAAAUGUGAGCUCUUGAGAAGUUUUUCCAUCAGUUUUAGAAAAUUGAUUUAUAGACAAAAUAUUUUUAAAAAUCAGCUUCUUCAUUUGUUGGGUCUAAACAUUUGCUUUUUGACUCUUUCAGCUGCUUGUUCUGUCUUUGGGAGGGCUGUCAUGAUAGGCUCAUUUUUGUGAGCAUAUCAUAUCCUCAGAUAUAAUGUCUGGCCUUGAGGCCUCUCUUUGACCUGAGUCCUAAUUUGGGCCUGUUGCUGGACCCCUCUUUCCUAAAGCUCUUCUCCAUUUUUGUUCCUGAAGUAUUUUCAGAGAGGAAGAAUUCUGGGUCAGAGGUUUGAGUGUAGGAUGGCAAUCACAUCCUUACCAUGAGUCCCAGUAUUACUACUGGAGGUGAACUCUACUAGUUCUGUUUCCCAACUGUAGGAUAUUUUACCUAAGGUUACUCGGUUUGAGUCCUUAGAGUUUCUCACCUCCCAUAUUUUUGGUAUUCUAGGACCACCCCCUCCACCUCCUGUGGUUGCCUGUUUUCAUUCUUUCAGAUGGAAUUCAGGACUUCAGUCCUGUUCUCCCCACCCAGUACCUGAUCAUGUUCCCCUCUUCCCCUCUCUUUCCUCUUUCCCACCAAUACCCCUCACUUCCCGUCCUGGGAUUGCUUUCUUCUACCUCUCAAGUGGAAUUCUGUAUUUUUUGGAUAAUAUCUAUUUUGUAGCUUUCUUCUUACAGUAUCAGAUAUCUUUUUUACUCUGGGUCUUAUACUCUGUGUAUGCAUUUUCUGAACUGCUGUCACAUUCUUGAAAUAAUCAUGAGUUUUCUGAAUUCAUAAACCGGGUUAGAAACAGCACUAUCAGUUGGUCCUUGAAACUCUACAAGUUAUGCAAUACUGUAAUGGUAUUUUUUGUGAUUCAAACUGAAUAUUUUGCUAAGGGUGAUAACGAGGCUUGUUUGUGAGUAUAAGGCUAGAUAUUUAAAAUAUAUUUAAGAUAUUGCUGUAUCAGGGAAAUUAACAGUAGAAUAGUUUCUUUAAGGACUUCUCAUCUCAAAAGCCAUGUGUAAUAGCUAGAUUUGAUGCAUAGGGCACACACCAAUUUUCUUCCUGGCCAUAAUAUAGGUCUGCAUUACUCACCAAAGAUCUAAUGAAUAAUUAAUAUUUUCUUUGAGCACUAAGCCACUAAUACUCUUGCAAGAACUCAGAUUUGACAAAAUUUAAGACUUGAUAACAUAGGUAAAAAUACGAAGUUUACAUUGAAAUUUUGAAGUAUUUUUUUUUUUUGGUAAUGUUUAUUUUAAUAUACCAUGUGUUCUGGAGUAGAAAGGUAACAGUAUGAGUGACAUAGCAAACAGUCUUAAAGACCAUAAAAUUAUAAAAUUUACAUAAAU
ensembl:lncRNA